GUGAGGAAUAUUGGACAAUGGGCGCAAGCCUGAUCCAGCCAUGCCGCGUGCAGGAAGACGCAUCUAUGGUGUGUAAACUGCUUUUGUACGGGAAGAAACACUCCCUCGUGAGGGAGCUUGACGGUACCGUAAGAAUAAGGAUCGGCUAACUCCGUGCCAGCAGCCGCGGUAAUACGGAGGAUCCAAGCGUUAUCCGGAAUCAUUGGGUUUAAAGGGUCCUUAGGCGGUUUAAUAAGUCAGUGGUAAAAGCCCAUCGCUCAACGAUGGAACGGCCAUUGAUACUGUUAGACUUGAAUUACAAGGAAGUAACUAGAAUAUGUAGUGUAGCGGUGAAAUGCUUAGAUAUUACAUGGAAUACCAAUUGCGAAGGCAGGUUACUACUUGUGGAUUGACGCUGAUGGACGAAAGCGUGGGGAGCGAACAGGAUUAGAAACCCCUGUAGUCC
rnacentral:rRNA from 1 species